rnacentral:rRNA from 1 species
UUGAACGCUGGCGGCAUGCCUUACACAUGCAAGUCGAACGGCAGCGCGGGGCAACCUGGCGGCGAGUGGCGAACGGGUGAGUAAUAUAUCGGAACGUACCCUGGAGUGGGGGAUAACGUAGCGAAAGUUACGCUAAUACCGCAUACGAUCUAAGGAUGAAAGUGGGGGAUCGCAAGACCUCAUUCUUCUGGAGCGGCCGAUAUCUGAUUAGCUAGUUGGUGGGGUAAAGGCCUACCAAGGCAUCGAUCAGUAGCUGGGCUGAGAGGACGAACAGCCACACUGGAACGGAGACACGGUCCAGACUCCUACGGGAGGCAGCAGUGGGGAAUUUUGGACAAUGGGCGAAAGCCUGAUCCAGCAAUGCCGCGUGAGUGAAGAAGGCCUUCGGGUUGUAAAGCUCGUUUGUCAGGGAAGAAACGGUGAGAGCUAAUAUCUCUUGCUAAUGACGGUACCUGAAGAAUAAGCACCGGCUAACUACGU